GAGUCUCCUGAAGGCAACGCGCCCCAGAAAAGCAAAAUGACAAAUGUGAAAACCCUCAACACUGGCUGCUCAAACGCCGCGACCAUCAUGAAGGAUAAAUAAUAUUUGGACUAACUGGACAGCGAUAACUCAGCAGUGGUUUCAUUAUUGAGACCUCCUCCCCACGGUUAGCCAGUCCCUGCCUUCCUUUCAACGCCCUUUCCAGCAUGCAAGACAAGCGAAGGAAUAAAAAGCACUUUGAAGAGUCCUGCUUCAGGAACCUGAAGAUGGAUUUUCCAAAAGUCAACUCAUGCCUGAGUCUGUGACUACUAUCUAUGGCAAUGGAGGAGACAAUGAAAUGGUUUGUGCACCACGGGAAGUCUGACCUGUGCUGAGCAGCAGCAGGACUUUCAUGCACAGAUAUUCGUCGAAAGAAACCUGCAGCCGGACAAACUCGCUGCUAAUCCUCAUCAUCUGUGCACACUGUUCGGCCAUGUAUGGCAGCUUCAUUCGCUCCCUUUAAUCACAAAAGACAAAAACACAUAUUCAUCCAUCAGGAUAGGACGCUGAGUCUCAAGUUCAGCUCCAACAUUAUUGGUCCUCCAUUAGAUUUGUUAUUACGAUGAAGACAUACUCAUUC